UACGAAGGGGGCUAGCGUUGUUCGGAAUUACUGGGCGUAAAGCGCGUGUAGGCGGGUCUUUAAGUCAGGGGUGAAAUGCCAGGGCUCAACCUUGGAACUGCCUUUGAUACUGGAGACCUUGAGUCCGGGAGAGGUGAGUGGAAUUGCGAGUGUAGAGGUGAAAUUCGUAGAUAUUCGCAAGAACACCAGUGGCGAAGGCGGCUCACUGGCCCGGAACUGACGCUGAGACGCGAAAGCGUGGGGAGCGAACAGG
rnacentral:rRNA from 1 species